ensembl:lncRNA
AAAAAAAAAAGAAAACCACAGCACUCUCCCUGGCCGCUGUUUUGGCGGGGGAGGGGGCUGGAGGGUGGGCGCAUUGGCCUGGUUUCUGUGGUCCAGUGAAAUGGUUUGGUUUGAUUCGGCUGUACAGAGACCCCCUGACCUGGGAGGGGAGGGGGGAGUGGUGCCCCCUCCUCCCUCCACUCCAUUACUCUUUGCUUGCUAAUUUUCCCUUGCCCCACCUCCCACCCUCAGCCCUGUGCCCUGAAUGUUUGCCCCACCGUCAUUGUCCUGAGUUGAAUGUCCCUUUGUGGGGGAGGGGAAGGGGCGUGUCCAUCCAUUAGGGGGCAAAUGGAGGGAGUCAUGUGCCCCACCCCACCCACUGCUAAUGUGGAGCCCAGUGGAAUUUGUACCUUUCACUUUGGUGCCAGCGCAUUUAUAGGAGGAGUUGUGCGCAACUUCUGUGUGUGUGUGUGUAUGUGUGUGUGUGUAUCCACUGGCACUAGUCCAUUUAUCGGUGUGCAGAGGAAAGGAAGCAUGAGCAUGCACAGACAUGACCUCCCACGUGUGUGCAGGGAGGCAUGCCCACAGUGGUGCAUGUGACCAGCCUGGGCAUUGGCUGCACCUUGGCGUGGAGGAGCUUGGUGUGUAAGAACGUGUGUAGUAUGUGUGUGCAGACGUGGCAGCUGUGAGACCUGUAUGUGUCCAUGGAGGGGUGUACAUGGAGGUGCGUGCAUGCACAUGUGUGUAGACCCCAAGUGUAGAAGCGCCUGAGUGUGUGUUCCCUCAUCCCUGCACCACUGGUUCUGGCUCCCCUCUCAAGCCCCCAGCCCCUGGGCCCUCUCAAAGUCCCCAGCACGUCAAAGCCCCCCCAGCUGCAUGCGCCUCACUGCUCUGUCCAUCAAUGUGUGCUUGACCAAGAGAAAACCAAGACGUCUGGGGGGACCCCUGUACCUGGUCCCCCCAGCCCCUGCCCACUGUGCUGUGUUACUCGCAUGGGGGGCUUCUCUCCCACCCCUUCCACAAUAAGCUGUUUCCCCAGGAGCCUCAGGCCUGAGGCUCUGCGAGGGGUCCCAGGUGGGACCCCCCAGGGCAAGCCCGGCUCACACCCACCCUGUCCCCUGUAGGGCCCAUGUCGGUGUAGCAGUGAUGGCUUCUGUGGGUAUUCUGUGACCUCUGUCAGUGUAACUUGACAACUUCUAAAUGGAAAAGGGUUGCUGUGUUUUCUCUGUCUCUUUUUUAAUGUCCCUUUUCUUCCCCCACUUUCCUGCACUUUCCUUUUUGGUUUUUCUAGCUGAGUGUUUGGGGCUUAAAUAAAACUUGUUUCUUUUUCCUCUCCUGGAUCUCCUUCCUAGAGGCUGCUGUCUCAUUAUUUCUCAUCUUCACCCUGGAAGGUGCUGGG